rnacentral:pre_miRNA from 1 species
UUUAAGCGUGGACUUGAUUUUUCGUGUUCAACUUUGAUUAUCCAUCUUAUUUGAAUUUUUUUUAUGAUUAGUAAUUUUAUUGUUAUUAGAUUGUAAAAUAUAAAUAGUACUUUAUACGUGACUUAUGUUUGACUUGGCAAGGCUCUGGUAGAAGUGGCUAGAAUUUCAAACGCAAAACAGUAGCAUUUCAG